GACGAACGCUGGCGGCGUGCUUAACACAUGCAAGUCGAACGGAAAGGCCCUGCUUUUGUGGGGUGCUCGAGUGGCGAACGGGUGAGUAACACGUGAGUAACCUGCCCUUGACUUUGGGAUAACUUCAGGAAACUGGGGCUAAUACCGGAUAGGAGCUCCUGCUGCAUGGUGGGGGUUGGAAAGUUUCGGCGGUUGGGGAUGGACUCGCGGCUUAUCAGCUUGUUUGUGGGGUAGUGGCUUACCAAGGCUUUGACGGGUAGCCGGCCUGAGAGGGUGACCGGCCACCUUGGGACUGGGAUACGGCCCCGACUCCUACGGGAGGCAGCAGUGGGGAAUAUUGCACAAUGGGCGGAAGCCUGAUGCAGCAACGCCGCGUGCGGGAUGACGGCCUUCGGGUUGUAAACCGCUUUCGCCUGUGACGAAGCGUGAGUGACGGUAAUGGGUAAAGAAGCACCGGCUAACUACGUG
rnacentral:rRNA from 1 species